rnacentral:tRNA from 1 species
GGAUGAUGUAGAGAUGCUUGGCAAGCAUCAGGGCGCUGUAAACGCCUCGCCUUUGGCUAGUGGUUCGACUCCAUCAUCAUCCACCA